rnacentral:rRNA from 1 species
GCCUACGGGGGGCAGCAGUGGGGAAUAUUGCACAAUGGGGGAAACCCUGAUGCAACAACGCCGCGUGAGUGAAGAAGUAUUUCGGUAUGUAAAGCUCUAUCAGCAGGGAAGAAAAUGACGGUACCUGAGUAAGAGGCCCCGGCUAACUACGUGCCAGCAGCCGCGGUAAUACGUAGGGGGCAAGCGUUAUCCGGAUUUACUGGGUGUAAAGGGAGCGUAGACGGCGAUGCAAGUCUGAAGUGAAAGCCAGAGGCU